rnacentral:rRNA from 1 species
AUGCCAUCGACGUCGUCCAAGCCGAAGAGAGCAGGUGGCCUCCAGGGCCACAGGCCGCAGCCGCUGAGCCUGCCGACCCGGCCGUCCAAGAAACCACGCGUCGGCGGCCACGCCGGAUCAGCUGGGGCUGGGCCCGUGAUCGUGUACGAGCGCACGCCGAGGGUCGUCCACGCCGACCCGCACGAGUUCAUGGCCGUCGUGCAGAGGCUCACGGGCAAGCAGCGGUCGUCGACGGCAGCGACGUUGCCACCAGAGGCGACGUCCGGGGCUAGGGACGGCAGGGCCUCGACGUCGACGGCCGCGGACGCUUUGGUUCUCACGCUUGGCCAGGAGCAGCGGCGUGCGCCGUGUCGUCAUGAUCAUCCCGCACCUUCUGCUUCCCCAGGUACUGCAUCAUCGAUAUCGCCGCUGUCCCCGAGCAGCUUCUUCCUCUCCCCGGCCACCAUGCAGGCGAUACGAGACCUCAUCAGCUGA